CAGCUGUAAACUAUGUGCGUUAGGUGUGUCAGUGACCACGUGUCACUGAGGUGCCGAAGGGAAACCGUGAAACGCACCGCCUGGGGAGUACGGUCGCAAGGCUGAAACUUAAAGGGAAUUGGGCGGGGGAGCACCACAACGGGUGGAGCCUGCGGUUUAAUCGGACUCAACGCCGGGAAUCUCACCGGAUAAGACAGCUGAAUGAUAGUCGGGAUGAAGACUCUACUUGACUAGCUGAGAGGAGGUGCAUGGCGUCAGUGACU
rnacentral:rRNA from 1 species